UUUUAAAAAAGUUUUCUUUUGCAUCCAGAUUCACGUCGACAACGUUGUAUUUUUUUGUGGAUAGUUACUCAAAAAAUCUCUCGAUGUUUCUUAGAAUCUUUUUUGAUUUCUGAUUUUGCUAUGAAUGUGUGGUCAUGGUAAGGAAACUUCUCGGUUUAUGAAAAAAGGAUGUAUGUGGAUAACUUGGUUGGUAUUUCAACAGAAUUUAUGCCGCGGCGAUUUCUUUCCAUGAUGCUGCAUCUCGUGGUGUAUGAUUCGUGAUGGGACUAAUCCUCCAUUGCAUAAGCAGUUGCAUGUGCUACAUGAUCAGUAAUUCAUGGGUUUCUUAUGAUAUUCAAAUGACUAUUUGAAAACAAAUAGGACCAGUACUUUGGUCAAGCUGUCUAUUGCUAUGCUGUAAAGUGAUAGCUGUGUCUUCUAUGUCCAAGAUGAAAAUGUUCUGAAGUGUUCCUUACACCUUUGUUUCUACAUUGAACUUUGACAUAUACUCAUUAUAUAUUUUCUUGACGGUGGUGAUGUCUAACAGGUGAAAUUUCGAAGAUGUUCUUGCACGAUCGGCAUCGUUAAUCUUUGGGCCUUAUAAUGCCGAUCACUACAUUAACGCGAGUCCCUUGGGCUUUUCUCACUUUUUUGCAUAUUUCAGGAUGGGAUAGGUGGUAAUCUGCUUAAAAGCUAUUGUUUUGCUGCAAAUUCAAAAAAAACCAUACUGUAUGCCACUUUAAGUGAUUGACUGGACAAAUGGAGACCAUGGUUGGAACAAUACUUCAUGGUCGUUGGUUAAGCAGCCUGGUGCCAUGCCGUAUCCCGUUAGAGGAACUUUCUUCAUGUCAGGUGCCAUAAAGCAUUUGCAAAUUAUGAUGAAGAUGAAUGUACAGUCAAGAUGUGCGCUGUUAAUUCAUGUCUUGCUUUUCAGAGCAUGUAUAUUGUCUUGUCAUGGGGUUUCAUUGUGUUGGUUGUAUUAAGAGUCUGCUACUAUGGAUUAUCUCAUUUCAGGUACAAUGUAGUGUUCCUUUGCAUUUAUUUUACAAGGUCGUACAGUAUCAGCAAAUGAUCAAGUUGGAGGAUUUUUAAGACAUAAGCCAGAGCGUUGCUUCUGGCUUAUGUUUCUUGGAACUACAGCAAUUAAGCCAUCGACUAUUAUAAUAAUGGUACGCUGGCAUUAUCUUGGACACUCGGUGUUCUUGUUCGUUGUAAAUCGGUUUUUUUAUAGUGCUGAUUGCUAUAUUAAGGUUGUCGAUUGUUUAGUCCUCCAUUGCCGAUCAUUUUGAAAAUGCUAAGAGUGACGAUAUCCAAGUGAUGGCCUACGUUGACGGAAGUCUUUUUACCUUCCCAAAAUUCAAACGAAAAAAAAAAAAAGCGAACGUUUUAAUUUGUGCACGGAUGUAGUUAAUCAUAUUAGCAAGAAAUUUGUGUUAAUUCACGUUUUAUUUUUUCCAAUGGAGGUCGAUGACCAUUGAAACGAAAUAGGCUUCCGGUGGUAGUCCGGUGAUGAAUUUAUUGGCAGUUGGAAGAGGAUUCGAAACUUUUCCUAUACUCUAAUUUUUUCAAAAUAUUUACAAGAAAAAUGUAUGUUGGUCUGUGUUUCUGUUGCCACCUUUCCCCAUUACUUGUGAUAAGUCCUUAGUGGGUUGUGCCGGUACUGUUAUCUAUAUGCCUCAGGAUUUAUCCAAUCCAGACAUCUUCAUAUAUGUUAAUUAUAAAGCCAAUUAACAUAAUGCGUGCAUGAUGAGUUUCAAUAAAACGAAUUUUUUAACAA